CAUGCAAGUCGAGGGACCGGCGCACGGGUGAGUAACGCGUAUCCAACCUGCCCAUGUCUGGGGAAUAACCCGUCGAAAGGCGGACUAACUCCCCAUGGACAUGGAUGGGGAUGCGUCUGAUUAGGUAGUAGGCGGGGUAACGGCCCACCUAGCCUACGAUCAGUAGGGGUUCUGAGAGGAAGGUCCCCACAUUGGAACUGAGACACGGUCCAAACUCCUACGGGAGGCAGCAGUGAGGAAUAUUGGUCAAUGGACGAGAGUCUGAACCAGCCAAGUAGCGUGCAGGAUGACGGCCUAUGGGUUGUAAACUGCUUUUGCGCGGGGAUAGGUACCGCGCGAAUAAGGACCGGCUAAUUCCGUGCCAGCAGCCGCGGUAAUACGGAAGGUCCGGGCGUUAUCCGGAUUUAUUGGGUUUAAAGGGAGCGUAGGCCGUGAGGUAAGCGUGUUGUGAAAUGUAGGCGCCCAACGUCUGCACUGCAGCGCGAACUGCCCCACUUGAGUGCGCGCAACGCCGGCGGAACUCGUCGUGUAGCGGUGAAAUGCUUAGAUAUGACGAAGAACCCCGAUUGCGAAGGCAGCUGGCGGGAGCGUAACUGACGCUGAAGCUCGAAAGCGCGGGUAUCG
rnacentral:rRNA from 1 species